UUGUAGACUCGUAUGAAUGGCAAAAUGAGAGCCCGACUGUCUCUUAUAACAAAUCAAUUAAACUGAUCUCUCAGUACAAAAGCUGAGAUUCUCACAUAAGACCAGAAGACCCUGUGAAGCUUUAACUAAACUAUUAAACCCCUUAAUAACUAUUUUUGGUUGGGGCGACCUUGGAACAAAAAAGAACUUCCAAAUACAUGACCUUCUCACACCAAGGCAAACAAGCCACAUUUAGACCCAGAACUUUCUGAUAAAUGAACCAAGUUACUCCAGGGAUAACAGCGCUAUCUUCUUCAAGAGCCCAUAUCAAAAAGAAGGUUUACGACCUCGAUGUUGGAUCAGGACAUCCUAGCAAUGCAACCGUUACUAAGGGUUCGUUUGUUCAACGA
rnacentral:rRNA from 1 species